GUAGGUGGCAAGCGUUGUCCGGAAUUAUUGGGCGUAAAGCGCGCGCAGGUGGUUCUUUAAGUCUGAUGUGAAAGCCCCCGGGCUCAACCGGGGAGGGUCAUUGGAAACUGGGGAACUUGAGUGCAGGAGAGGAAAGUGGAAUUCCACGUGUAGCGGUGAAAUGCGUAGAUAUGUGUAGGAACACCAGUGGCGAAGGCGACUUUCUGGCCUGUAACUGACACUGAGGCGCGAAAGCGUGGGGAGCAAACAGGAUUAGAUACCCUGGUAGUCCACGCCGUAAACGAUGAGUGCUAAGUGUUGGGGGGUUUCCGCCCCUCAGUGCUGCAGCUAACGCAUUAAGCACUCCGCCUGGGGAGUACGGUCGCAAAGACUG
rnacentral:rRNA from 1 species